GGCAUUUCAAUAAAACACAGGGAUGGUUUAUGGUUCACCCUGAGCUCAGCCCGGUCACUUAGGAGUCUCAUACUCUCUGGUUAUUAAUUCUCUCUCCCAGAAUGUGUGUGCGCGUGUGUGUGACUUCUUGUCGACUACCCUCCUCAGCCAUUUUUGGUUUCUCCUGUACUCUAUUCUCCUCUUCCUGCCUCCUCUCUCUGUCUGAGAUGAAGACAUAUGAGGACACUCCCUCAAGGGUGCAGUGCGGUUGUGGCAGAGCAAUAAAGAAUCUGGAGGUCAAAUGUACACCGAAAUCCUUCACCCCUUCUACCCAGCACUACACACACACACACACACACACACACACACACACACACACACACACACACACACACACACAGGUCAAACGUACAACGCUAGAGUUGGUUACAUAAAGCAGAUGGCCGUGGCUGGCAUAAAGCAGCUACGACAUCUAAGAGUCUCGUGUGCAUGUUUGUGUGUGUGCUGUACCCUCUUUCCUAGCAAAAAAACACCAGGGACCUUGUUUGUUGUCCCCCCCCCCCCCCCCCCCACACACACACACACACAAGGGACACACUGUCAGCUAUACAAUCACAGCACACACACCUACAGAGACACACAUGUUAUGGUACUUUGUUAUAAACAAGGUCUUUGUCUCAGUGUAUGGAUUGAACAUUCCCACCUUGUGUGUGUGUGUGUGUGUGUGUGUGUGUGUGUGUGUAUGUAUGUGUGUGUUUCUCUCAGAGAGUACCAUGAUAGGACCUGGAGGGCAUUUAAAGCGAGCAGAUACAACCCUAAACCUGACACUGACUGGCACCAUAAUGCUGAUAGGACAAACAUACAUAUAGUCAUAUUACAGGUGCAGCCAUCAAAAAUAAACUCUUUUGUCAUUUUUCUCUGGGUUAUUUACAAUCAUUCAAGAUCAUUCGGUGAUCAAAGGGAUCUUUGUGUCAUGUGUUAUCAUUGUGACCUUUGUCCUCAUGACUGGUUGUUUGUAUUGUAGUAACAAUGUUAUAUUUUAAAUGUUCAAAUGAAAAUAUAUUUUCUAGAUUUCAUUGAAUUUGUAAUAAACAUUGAUAAAAAG
rnacentral:lncRNA from 1 species